UACGUAGGGGGCAAGCGUUAUCCGGAUUUACUGGGUGUAAAGGGAGCGUAGACGGCAGAGCAAGUCUGAAGUGAAAGCCCGCGGCCCAACUGCGGGACUGCUUUGGAAACUGCCCGGCUAGAGUGCUGGAGAGGUAAGCGGAAUUCCUAGUGUAACGGUGAAAUGCGUAGAUAUUAGGAGGAACACCAGUGGCGAAGGCGGCUUACUGGACAGUAACUGACGUUGAGGCUCGAAAGCGUGGGGAGCAAACAGG
rnacentral:rRNA from 1 species